rnacentral:rRNA from 2 species
GGGACCCGUCUUGAAACACGGACCAAGGAGUCUAGCAUGUGCGCGAGUCAUUGGGAUUUUUACUAAACCUAAAGGCGCAAUGAAAGUGAAGGUCCGCCUUGCGCGGACCGAGGGAGGAUGGACCGUGCCGAGGUACGGUCUCGCACUCCCGGGGCGUCUCGUUCUCAUCGCGAGAAGAGGCGCACCCAGAGCGUACACGCUGGGACCCGAAAGAUGGUGAACUAUGCCUGGUCAGGACGAAGUCAGGGGAAACCCUGAUGGAGGUCCGUAGCGAUUCUGACGUGCAAAUCGAUCGUCGGAACUGGGUAUAGGGGCGAAAGACUAAUCGAACCAUCUAGUAGCUGGUUCCCUCCGAAGUUUCCCUCAGGAUAGCUGGCGCUCGCUUCUCGCGAGUCUCAUUCGGUAAAGCGAAUGAUUAGAGGCAUUGGGGUCGAAACGGCCUCAACCUAUUCUCAAACUUUAAAUGGGUGAGAUCUCCGGCUUGCUUGAACUGUGAAGCCGCGAGAUAUCGGAUCAGAGUGCCAAGUGGGCCACUUUUGGUAAGCAGAACUGGCGCUGUGGGAUGAACCAAACGCAGAGUUAAAGCGCCUAAAUCGACGCUUAUGGGAUACCAUGAAAGGCGUUGGUAACUUAAGACAGCAGGACGGUGGCCAUGGAAGUCGGAAUCCGCUAAGGAGUGUGUAAA